CUGGGCAUCUUGGCCGUCUUUGAGUCUAAGGUGCCCCUGGAAAGGCAUUACCUUGAGAUGGGGAGCACGUGUCACCAAAGGGCACUGUGCCGGGCAGCAGGAGAUCUGGGUUCUGAGCUGGCCAUUAUGCAGCUGCACCUCCUGGAGCAUCCUCUGUGGACAGGCUUGAGCUGCAGAUGUCUCUCAAGCCUUUUUCUGAGCUUGCUUCGGGGUAUUAACUUGACCAUCUCAGCUGCUGUCAGAACUAUCCCUGCUGGCCUGGCAAUGAGACACAGGAUAGAUGCUUUGUGAGGACUGGGAUGGUGGGAGGAAGACAGGGGAAGACCCCUUCCUGCAGGAUGUUGACACAGGCACAGAGCUACGGACACAGGCAACAUAAACUACUGUAUUGGCCUCAGCACCUGGAUUCCUUUUUGAUGGCAAAACCAAUUCCAACAGGCCGGAAACUCCUCUGUCUGCAUGUGGGCAGUUACAGAGGACCGGAUUUGGAGUGCAGCUGACAGGAGGGGAACGAGAUCAGGAAUGGCUUGAGACAAGAUGAUCACCGGUGAUGAAUUGAAAUGGCAAGCAAUAGGAUAUAUUGGAGUAUAUGAGGAAGCCAUUUGGUAUAAACCUAAUUCGGCCUGACUUUGUUUUUUCCAAAAGGGCCUGACUGUGGCCAUUAAGCAUGCAUUGUAUACCUGCUUAGACAUUUCCUAUGACAAGAACAAAGGCCCUUGAGAUAAAGGUGCAACUUCCCUCCCCCUCACAACGUUGGCAUCUCCUUAAAGAUUAAGCAUCUUUCCUUAGGCUAGGAACCGAUUGCAGCGCUCACCUGUGACCACCCAGCUCGAGGCAACAGACCUGCCACCCUGCUGUGUUCACCGAGACAGCAGACCUAUCUGCUGUUUCCAUCAAUCACUGUGCCAGCCUCGUAACUAUUGUAAAAGGGACAUUUCAAUCACAUGUGAAACAUCCUCUUUGAGGGUUAUAACCACCCUGUAUAGCCUCACUUCUUUGGAGUGCUCUGUUCCUUUGUGGAAAGACUCUCCUGGGUUAUAAUCCUCACAUUUUAGCUCAGAAUAAACUCAC
rnacentral:lncRNA from 1 species